GACGAACGCUGGCGGCGUGCUUAACACAUGCAAGUCGAACGGAAAGGCCCUGCUUUUGUGGGGUGCUCGAGUGGCGAACGGGUGAGUAACACGUGAGUAACCUGCCCUUGACUUUGGGAUAACUUCAGGAAACUGGGGCUAAUACCGGAUAGGAGCUCCUGCUGCAUGGUGGGGGUUGAAAAGUUUCGGCGGUUGGGGAUGGACUCGCGGCUUAUCAGCUUGUUGGUGGGGUAGUGGCUUACCAAGGCUUUGACGGGUAGCCGGCCUGAGAGGGUGACCGGCCACAUUGGGACUGAGAUACGGCCCAGACUCCUACGGGAGGCAGCAGUGGGGAAUAUUGCACAAUGGGCGGAAGCCUGAUGCAGCGACGCCGCGUGCGGGAUGACGGCCUUCGGGUUGUAAACCGCUUUCGCCUGUGACGAAGCGUGAGUGACGGUAAUGGGUAAAGAAGCACCGGCUAACUACGUG
rnacentral:rRNA from 1 species